GGAGCAGCUGACUUCUGCCCCUGGACCUCAGUGUUGCUCCUUCUCUGGCUUCAGACUCAGACGGAGUCACAUCACUGGCCUUCCAGCUCACAGACACCAGCUUAUGGGUCUUCAGACCUCUUGGCCUCUAUAAUCUUGUUCCUGGUCUUGAGGGCUUCAGCAGUGAAACUGCAAACCUUCCUGCUAGACAGAAAAGUUCUCCAAGUCCUCACUGGACCCAGAAGCGCAACCGGCUUCACCUCUCGCAGUCCAGGCGGGACUUUGCGGCACCUGUCCCAGGCACUCCUGCUUCCCAGAGGGAGGUCUUCCCAGCCAAUCAAGAGGAAGAGAGGAGAAGCUAGUAACAGAAGGAGACCCGCCAUCGUGGCCAACGACACCGCGAAGAGGGAAGGGCGGUCCAUGCACGAGACCCAGCGUCCAAUCAAGCCCAGCAGGCGCCGGCCAGCCGCGCCUGUUUUCCAGACAGUCCAUCUGCUCUUUCCGUGGAACAUGCCCUUCCCAGUGUACCUCACCGCCCGGAGAUACAUCCGUUUCUUUCUGGGAUCUCUAAUUUGAACCUUGUCUGCAAGACCAAUUUUCAUUGUUUUUUGGGUUUUUGUUUUUUGUUUUUUGUUUUUUUUUCCCCCCAGGAAACCAUGUUUACUAAGCAUGUUCUUUUCCAGGUGAAUUUCAGUCAGUGCGUCAAAUUCCGUAAAAGAUGCAAUUGCAGUUUAACUGGGAUUCCACGGUGCAUUUCGAUCACUUUGGGAGACCGUUGACAUCUUUACAAUGUUAAUUUUCUCGUUCAAGAUUUCUCUCCAUUUACUCAGAAAGUUUCUUUUGUGUCUGCCAAUAAAGUUUUAGUUUUCCUCUCACAGGUUUUGUGUGCAUUUUUGUUACUUCCAACCUCUGCCCCCUGGUAUUUUACAGUUUUUCUAGCUAUUGUAAAUGGGACAGCUUCUUUCAAAUGGUUAUUUCUUGUGUAUAAAGAUAUGGAUUUUUAU
rnacentral:lncRNA from 1 species